GAUUCCUGUGAUAGCAAGCAUCCAACCAGACAGCCUGCGGGUGAUACCCGGUAACAUCAGCUGUGAAGCCUACGGAGCGAUAGUCACUGGCCUAAUGGAAAGCCUGAAGAUCCUGCCACCGCAAAUUUCAAUGGACGUGAGGUCAAGCCUGGAAUCACUGCAGGAGGCCUUCCCAGAUUGUGCAACACUGGAUUCUUUCACGUGCAAAGACACAC